rnacentral:rRNA from 1 species
CCUACGGGCGGCAGCCGUGAGGAAUAUUGGUCAAUGGGCGUCAGCCUGAACCAGCCAAGUCGCGUGAGGGAUGAAGGUUAUAUGGAUCGUACACCUCUUUUAUAAGGGAAUCAAGUGCGGGACGUGUCCUGGUUUGUAUGUACCUUAUGAAUAAGGAUCGGCUAACUCCGUGCCAGCAGCCGCGGUAAUACGGAGGAUGCGCGCGUUAUCCGGAUGUAUUGGGUUUAAAGGGAGCGUAGGCCGGUCUUUAAGCUUUCCGUGAAAUUUUGUGGCUCAACCAUGAGAGUGCGGCGCGAACUGGAGACAUGGAGUGCGCAGAAGGCAGGCGGAAUUCGGGGUGUAGCGGUGAAAUGCUGAGAUAUCCCGAAGAACCCCGAUUGCGAAGGCAGACUGCCGCAGCGUUACUGACGCGGAAGCUCGAAAGCGCGGGUAUCGAACAGGAUUAGAUACCCCUGUAGUC